rnacentral:rRNA from 1 species
AUGGCGUCAGGAUGAACGCUAGCUACAGGCUAACACAUGCAAGUCAGGGGCAUCAUGUCGGUUGCUUGCAACCGAUGAUGGCGACCGGCGCACGGGUGAGUAACGCGUAUCCAACCUUCCCUUAGUAGGGCAUAGCCCGUAGAAAUGCGGAUUAACACCCUAUGUUCUUCAUGGAUGGCAUCUGACGUGAAGCAAAGUUUACGCUAAGGGAUGGGGAUGCGUCUGAUUAGGUUGCAGGCGGGUAACGGCCCACCUGGCCGACGAUCAGUAGGGGUUCUGAGAGGAAGGUCCCCCACAUUGGAACUGAGACACGGUCCAAACUCCUACGGGAGGCAGCAGUGAGGAAUAUUGGUCAAUGGGCGAGAGCCUGAACCAGCCAAGUAGCCGUGCAGGACGACGGCCCUAUGGGUUGUAAACUGCUUUUAUCAGGGGAUAAAGUCGGCUACGCGUAGCCGUUUGUAGGUACCUGAUGAAUAGGGACCGGCUAAUUCCGUGCCAGCCGCGGC